UAAUUUAUUUGUCGAAUAGACUCUUCGGUUUGCUUCUUUGAUAGAUUCAGUGAUAUGUCAUGUAAUUUUGUUCAAAAUUAAGGACAUUUAUUUACUGUGUCUGUCGGAGAAGCAAGUCGGAGAGUCUCUUCAGAUGAAUUG